CUGCCUUUGAGACCCAUGUGAGUGUCUCUGCAUGGUGCUGUGCUGAACUCUGUGGAUGUACUCUGAAAGUCAGCUUGGAGCUUUUUUCACCAUAAUCCACUGCACAAUGCAGCUAUCACCUUGUCCCAGCAUUCAGCUGUUUUUCUCAUUGGAAUAUUCUUUGUUAUCCAGAAAAUGCCAUUUGAAAAUGAGUUUCUCUGAUCUUUCAUCUUACUGGGACAUGACCGAGCUAUGAAAAGUGAACUUCAAGAUCUUUGGGAUAUGAGCAUUUGAAGUUGUUUUGUACAAAGACUUUUGAAGGAACCAGUGUGUGAAUUUUUAAAUUAGUAAAUGUUAUUAUUUAUUCUAACUUUGAUCAAGAACAGGAUUUCCAGAUGGGACAAAUUGAUUAUAGUUUUCAUCUGCACGUCUGUAAAUCAAUAUAUAUUAAAAAAAUUGUCUAAUAUAUUUUCUUAUAGCAGUUUUGAUUUUAAAAGUUCAAAUCAAACAUUGCAGUAUUCUAAGCAAAGAAAAAUAUGUAAGAUUGUUUUCAGCUAAAUCCUGUUUUCAGCUAAAAUUUAACUAAAAUGGCAGUGAUGCUUAUAAUGCAUCACUUGUGUCUAUGAGCUUGUUAGCAGAAGUAUGGCUGGGGAGCUUAGAGAGAACUUUCUGUAGGGGUUUUGAAACAAAUGAUUGUGGAAAUUUCUGUUUCUUCUUUCCAUCUGUAACUUCUCUUUGUUUUUUAGUGACAAUCUAGCAACCUUUUCCAGAAUGAAAAGCACAAUCAUCA